rnacentral:lncRNA from 1 species
GGAUUCCCAGGGCAAACAACCCUUCGUCUGAAAGGCUCGAAGGUCCGAUGCGGCACAAUCAUUCCAGAGCAACGAUGACUCUGCCUUUUGCCUUGCACGUCACUACAACGGGAAGUCUGCGCGGAGCGCUAAGAACCGGAAAGCAUUUCUCUAGCCCAAGAGUAUCCCGCUUAACUUGACCACUGCACAUCUGCCGAAAGGACUGCCUGGAAAGUGUGGGGAGCCGCCCUCACAUUCGCCGUUGCAAGAUGGUGCUGACAUCCUGUGUUCUAAGUGGUAAACAAAUAAUCUGCGCAUGUGCCAAGGGUAGUUCUCCACUCCAUGUGCUCUGCCUUUCCCGUGAUGACAACUCGGCCGAUGGGCUGCAGCCAAUCAGGGAGUGACACGUCCUAGGCAGAGGAUAAUUCUCCUUAAAAGGGAUGGGGUUUCGCCAUUCUCUCUCUCUUGCUCUUGCUCUCUUGCUCCUGAAGAUGUAAGCAAUAAAGCUUUUGCCGCAGAAGAUUCUGGUUUGUUGUGUCUUUCCUGGCCGGUCGCGAACGCGUGUAAGAGUUGGUGCCGGAACCCGGGAUGAGAAAACCCAGAACGAGAACAUCACACCAGCGCAAGGAAGACCCCUCAUUCCGGAACCAGAACUGCGGGUCACGGUCAUAAAGGUUCCCGUAAAACAGACUGUUGAGAAGGAUCCGGUGUGGAUGGAACUCUUCAGCUGGGGAACGGUGGUAAUGAAGUGUUCCCGUAACAGACUGUUGAGAAGGAUUCAACUGCGUGGAUUCAGAACUCUUCAGCUGGGGAACAUAAGUACAGCUUUACAAGGUAAGUCUGGUCUUGAACUUUCUAACGAAAUUCAAGACAGUCUAUCAGAAGUAAAGUGGGAAAUAGCUUUACAAGGUACGUCUGGCCUUGAACUUUCUAACGAAAUUCAAGACAGUCUAUCAGAAGUAAAGUGGAAAAUAGCUUUACAAGGUAUGUUUGGCCUUGAACUUUCUCCAGCGUUGGGAGCCUUUUUGUUCCUUUUCACAUAUUAUCAAGUGGUUAAGGCAGGGCUGAAAAUUCUGGAUGAAAUUCAGGGCAAUCUAUCAGAAGUAAAGCGGGGAGAGAGAGUAGGAGCAAAGAGGAAAUAUGGUGCACAAAAUAAGUAUACAGGCCUUUCCAAGGGUCUUGAACCCGAGGAAAAGUUAAGGUCAGGUAAAAAUACCUGGGGAGAGAUUGGAAGGAAAGAGGAGAAAAAUGAGAGAGAAAAGUAUCAGCCAGAUAAAAUGCUAGCUAAUCAGUCAAGGAAAAAGCCAAAAGCGGCUGGCGAAGGCCAGCAUGCUGUUCAGCCUCCGGGCAGUCGGCUUCAAGGUCAUAGUGCACUUCUGCCCUAUGCGGAGCCCCCACCCUGCGUAGUGUGCCAGUCCUACGCAGAGAGGCAAUGC